GUCCUUGUGUAUGCAUGUGUGUUGAGAAACACGUAGAGAUCUUGAGACUAAAUUCAUAGAGGCGUUUUGUUCAGAACUUCUCUCCAAGGCCAGGAAGACAGGCUAAAUGGCUCCAAAUCUCAACCUCCAACUGCUUGUCGGAUGUGGCCACCUGAAUCCCAACAGCGCCUUUGGUAUCUUUAAAGAAAAAUGUUGCCAACCCUCGCCCUCCCAGCCGCCAGAAUUUGGAUUAAAAGAGACUAAAACGAUGUGACAAUGAAAUGCAAUGUGUGAGCCUGUCUCGAAUUGGAUCCUAGACCAGAAAAAGGACAUUUGAAGGGAAACUGGUGCAAUUUGAAAGGGACCUGCAGAUUAGACAAUAGAGUGCCUCAAGAGGGAAAGUUUCUUAUGGUCAUCUUACAACAAUCGUUGUCCCUCCAAUAGGGAAUUCCGCCAAAGUCUGCUCCGCAAAGCACGAGCAAAUGUUCAGGGUCUGGAGACAGUAGAUUGCUCCAGGAGAAAUAUGAAGGAGCCACCGUGAUUCCAUAUCUGCCUGGGAACUCUUUUAAGCUGCUGAGGUCAGAAGAGAUUUGCAAAGCCCUCCAAGAGACUUUACCGAAAGACAUCGUGUGCUGGGGGUUAAUGUUUUUCUUCAUUAGUUGUGUUUGUAGCUUCUUGAAAUUAUUGUAUAUGGACUGGCACCCGCCUCAGCCUCCAGUCAUCAGCACAACUGCAUCGGGGGAUGGCCUCCUGGCUUCAUCUAUCAAACAAGCCACUGUCUGCAGACGUUCUGGGAUUUGUUGUAUUUGGGGUUAAACGGGGGAGGAGGGAAAAUUAACGGGUUUCUAUAAAGAAUCACUUCUCUGGUUCUCGUUAAAGCUCUGAGGGUCACAGGAAAUCUCUGGUUUCAAACAACUGUAUGUGGCGUGAUCCUGUUUACUUGAAAUGUCUAGCUGAGACCUAGCUUUGCCACAUUAAUACUAAAUAAGUAAUAUCCACAGAA
ensembl:lncRNA novel transcript